CUAGUCGCAUGUGUGUAUUAAUCUUUGUGGAAUAGUUGAACGUUUAGUUACGAAUUGCUACGAAUUUAUUCUUAAAAUCAACGCAUUAAUUUUAUUCCUGAUCUGACUGACAUUUCCGAGUUCCAAAAAUGAAAAAUGUCAUGAUAUUUAUGACUCUGUUAUUCGUUGUCUUCUCAUUAUCGCCAACAAUUUGUGACGAAAUAAGAAAAAAUGCUUCUACAGUCAAACAUCGCAAUGAGAAGUACACAUAUUUGGAUCUUCCUGCUAGCAUCGCACGUCUACCGAGUGGAUUAUUCAAGUGGUACACGGGAUAAGGAUGGACACUACCCGCCAAAGUAAUUUUGAGGAGGAUAAGAUAUAUGGCACGCAACAUAAUGAUUAAGGUUAAAAGGAAUGGUUAAUCCGAAGCUGUUUUACUUUGGAAUUCUUCGUCCUAUUUUAAUAUAAUUAUAAAAACUUGUUUGAUGGAAUUCAAAUAUGAAUUAAAUAACAUAAAUAUCAUAAAAAUGAAAUAAAUAAAGAUUAUCUACUCAUAUCGUAUGUUUCUUAUGAGAGAAUAUAUUCUCUGUAAUUACAAUGAAUUUCAUAAGACUAUAAUAGCAGAUAAACAUUUGUUUCACUAAUGCAUCUUGUUCUAUCGUACAAUUAUAUGAUUUUAUUCUUUUAAUUGCAUAAUAGAUUUACGCAUUAUACAUUUUACUUAAUUUAUUUUGUUUUCGGACCCGUAGAUCAAGGAAACAGUGAUUUAAAAUGUAAAAUAGUAGUAAAUCCUUAGAAAUUUCAAGCAUUUCGUAUUAAAUAUUUUUUUUUACAUAAUUAACUCUUUAUUCUCGUAGUUUAAGUUGGAUGACUUUAAUAUUUGCAAGUAAUAUGUAUUUUUAUAUAUGUAUGUGCAAAAUAUGCACUGCAGGUGCGUUGGAUCCAACGUAAUUCUUGGGAUCCACGAUAAUUAUAGUUAUAAUUGACUCGCAAGUUAAUUGCUAUCCUACUCGAGUAUUGCGGAAAAAAGAAGUGCGAGUUAUUGUACGCGUAUAUAAAAUUUCUUACCCGCAUGGCUAGUAUUGAUCACGGCCGUCUGAUAACGGAAGUUAUUUCAUUAUAAUAAGAAUAUUGCAAUUCAGAUGUAAAUACGAAAUAAGAAUUUAUAUUGUUAAAUUUGCUGUUAAAAUGCGAAACGAGCAGUAUACAGGCUUUGGUCCUUGCAUCAAGAAUUCACGGGCCCGCAUCUCACACAUGCAAAAAGAUGAAAGAUGCCCGUACACCAGUACGAAAGCGCAUCUGCAUGAUCUGCUAUUGAAAAUUCAUGUCCCGAGUGGUUUAUACGGAUGAAAAGUGGGAGGAACCGGAGGACAUUGCUCAACGGGCAGGAGACGCGGCGGUAGGUACUACUAAUUACUUAUACUUUUUAUUCCAUGCGAAUAUAAUGCCGUCGAAGCAGCCUCGGAGCAAGGAGGUCGCCGAUGGAAAAAAGGAAGGCGUACAAAGAGAGAAGGCGAGGUAAAAAGAGACACUGCCGCGCGAGAAAGAUCGGUGGAGGGAAUAUGUAAAAGGGGCAGGGUAGGGUGUAGUUGGAGUGCGUUACUCAAAGCUUUAAAGUCAUCUAUACGCCAUCAGCGACCGAUGUAUGUAUGUGGGGACCCCAAACCGCGCGUACACGCUCGUAAAAUCGCCAUGGCGCAGAAGGCAGGUCGGACUCCUGAUUGAGUUACGAUUUAAUUAGUCCGCGCGGCCAAUCAGUAAUUAAGAUAUCCGCUAAUCAACGGGCGCGGCCCUUCUUCGAUCUCUCUUUUUUCAUAAGUUCGCCACUGGAGAAUUUUUGCCGUAUUCUUCCUCCCCCCCCUCUCUCUACCCUUCCUUACGGUACUCUCAUUCUAUUUCGUAUUGUUCCUAAUCUGUUCUAUUUCUUUCUUCAUUAGUUAUAAUUUAUUAUUAAGCUUGAAAUAACCGUACUUGAUCAAAUAAAAGAUUUAUUAAAUUAUUUUGUGUAUAUAAUAUGUUUCUAUAUCACUUGGUAAAACGAUUAGCGUCGCACCUUAUUCGUAUCCAAGUUUCUUGUUCAAUAUUUGCUCUGGAACUUUUAGAAUCGAACUUCUAAUCAGCAUGGUCUCAUCUCUUUCAAUGAGAAAAAUACUGAAUGUUCCCGGCAUCUGCCGGAAAAAGAUAGAACACACAUGAUCGAAGACAUGCCUGAUAAACGAGCCACAUUUAUUCUGCCUCACCUUUUUUACUAACCUGUUUAACAUGCACAGUCCAAUCCACGAGAGAGGAUUGCACAAAUUUUAUGUAUGCUAAUAAUCAUCGUCGGAAUAAAGCUGCGAUGAUGCACAGAUGUAUACACAUUUAUUGUUUAUACACCAACAGUUUUGGUGCGAUUUUUAAAGAUGUUUUUUCUCCG